GAUGAAGAACGUAGCGAAAUGCGAUACUUGGUGUGAAUUGCAGAAUCCCGUGAACCAUCGAGUCUUUGAACGCAAGUUGCGCCCGAAGCCAUCAGGUUGAGGGCACGUCUGCCUGGGCGUCACAUAUCGUUGCCCAAUGCCUAUUGCAGUGCAAUAGGAAUUUCUAGGGCGAAUGAUGGCUUCCCGUGAGCGUUGUUGCCUCGCGGUUGGUUGAAAAUCGAGUCCUUGGUAGGGUGUGCCAUGGUAGAUGGUGGUCGAGUUAGAACGAUACCGAUCAUGUGCAUGCUCCCCAAAAUAUGGCCUCUAUGACCCACACGCGUCUUUUGACGCUCAUGACGAGACCUCAGGUCAGGCGGGGCUACCCGCUGAAUUUAAGAAUAUCAAUAAGCGAGGA
rnacentral:misc_RNA from 1 species